rnacentral:rRNA from 1 species
GGGGAAUUUUCCGCAAUGGGCGAAAGCCUGACGGAGCAAUACCGCGUGAGGGAAGAAGGCUCUUGGGUUGUAAACCUCUUUUCUUAGGGAAGAAAAAAAUGACGGUACCUAAGGAAUAAGCAUCGGCUAACUCCGUGCCAGCAGCCGCGGUAAUACGGAGGAUGCAAGCGUUAUCCGGAAUGAUUGGGCGUAAAGCGUCCGCAGGUGGUUUAUCAAGUUUGCGGUUAAAGGUUCUGGCUCAACCAGAGACAGGCCGUGAAAACUGAUAGACUAGAGUAUGGUAGGGGCAGAGGGAAUUCCCAGUGUAGCGGUGAAAUGCGUAGAGAUUGGGAAGAACACCGGUGGCGAAAGCGCUCUGCUAGGCCAAAACUGACACUGAGGGACGAAAGCUAGGGGAGCGAAUGGGAUUAGAUACCCCAG